rnacentral:lncRNA from 1 species
CGAGGUUAAUUGGUCUCUAAUGCAUGUAACUUUUAUUUCUAAAACUUUGACCUAAAUUAUUUGCUCAAAUAUUUAACUAAAUAAUGCAAAAUUAUUGAUAUAUGUUUUCGUGAAAAAUAGUUAUAGCAUGUGAUUUAUUUUUUGUACUUGUGGAAAGGACAAACAUUCGAUUAUUGAACAGUAAUGCCAAAAGUGACAGAUCGAUAUUUCGAAACUGUUGUUAGAAGUCACUUAUGGCCUCAUCAUAACUAAGAUAACAGUAAUACCAAAAGUGACAAUUAUUUCAAAACUGUCGUAAGUACGAAAUCAAAAUGUUAAAGUAGUUAUUAAUGAUGAUCAGUCCGACUACUUAUCUCGUCCAUACCCCAUUCAUGGCAGAAAGUUGAGGUGACCUUUUUGCCCACGGAUCAAACAUACUAAAACAAGAUAAUUUCAAGCAGUUGAAAAACUCUCAUCUUACACACUUUUUGAAUAUUCUUAACAGAUUCUGUAUCAGAGAUUCUUCAUCUUUUUUCAUACGUCCUAAUUCUCUCUGAAUGGUGACCACACAUCGAAUGCAGACAUAAGUUGUAAGCAUAGCCCUGCAUUUGAAUUUGAGGAGUCCACCCCACAAUCUACAUUGCGCCUAGACAGCAUCCUAAUGCCAGGUACUCAUGCUCACCCCUUCAGAUGUGUACUUUCGCGUUGCCUCCAAUUCCUGUUGCAUCCUAACCAACAUUUCCUUGGUAACUCUUUGAAUAUUGAUCAUCAUCCUCCCUCCCUCAUCCGUAAUCUAUACUCUAUAGU